AUUGAACGCUGGCGGCAUGCCUUACACAUGCAAGUCGAACGGUAACAGGUUAAGCUGCCGAGUGGCGCACGGGUGAGUAAUGUAUCGGAACGUGCCCAGUCGUGGGGGAUAACUGCUCGAAAGAGCAGCUAAUACCGCAUACGACCUGAGGGUGAAAGCGGAGGCUCGCAAGACCUCGCGCGAUUGGAGCUGCCGAUAUCGGAUUAGGUAGUUGGUGAGGUAAAGGCUCACCAAGCCGACGAUCUGUAGCUGGUCUGAGAGGACGACCAGCCACACUGGGACUGAGACACGGCCCAGACUCCUACGGGAGGCAGCAGUGGGGAAUUUUGGGCAAUGGGCGCAAGCCUGAUCCAGCCAUGCCGCGUGCGGGAAGAAGGCCUUCGGGUUGUAAACCGCUUUUGUCAGGGAAGAAAAGGUGCUGGCUAAUACCUGGGACUCAUGACGGUACCUGAAGAAUAAGCACCGGCUAACUACGUG
rnacentral:rRNA from 1 species